AACGAACGCUGGCGGCAGGCCUCAUACAUGCAAGUCGAGCGAUUAAAGCUCCUUCGGGAGUGUAUAAAGCGGCGAACGGGUGAGUAACAGGUGGAUGAUCUGCCUCCCGGUGGGGGAUAACGGCUGGAAACGGCCGCUAAUACCGCAUUCGGUUGGUGCGUUGCGACGCACCAAAGAAAGGCGCUUCACGGCGUCGCCGGGAGAUGAGUCCGCCCCCCAUUAGCUAGUUGGCGGGAUAAUAGCCCACCAAGGCUACGAUGGGUAGCCGAACUGAGAGGUUGAUCGGCCACACUGGAACUGAGACACGGUCCAGACACCUACGGGAGGCUG
rnacentral:rRNA from 1 species